CAAUGGCAUGAUGGACACACCUGUACCCAUACCGAACACAGAAGUUAAGCAUCAUAGCGGCGACGAUAGUACACUGUGCGAAAAUAGCACGCUGCCAGUU
rnacentral:rRNA from 1 species